rnacentral:rRNA from 1 species
AUUGAACGCUGGCGGCAGGCCUAACACAUGCAAGUCGAGCGAGUGGCGGACGGGUGAGUAAUAUCUGGGAAACUGCCAGAUGGAGGGGGAUAACUACUGGAAACGGUGGCUAAUACCGCAUACUAUCUGAUGUUCCCAGAUGGGAUUAUCUAGUAGGUGGGGUAAAGGCUCACCUAGGCGACGAUCCCUAGCUGGUCUGAGAGGAUGACCAGCCACACGGGAACUGAGACACGGUCCAGACUCCUACGGGAGGCAGCAGUGGGGAAUAUUGCACAAUGGGCGCAAGCCUGAUGCAGCCAUGCCGCGUGGAUGAAGAAGGCCUUAGGGUUGUAAAGUACUUUCAGCGGGGAGGCGUUACCCGCAGAAGAAGCACCGGCUAACUCCGUGCCAGCAGCCGCGGUAAUAC